AGAGUUUGAUCCUGGCUCAGAUUGAACGCUGGCGGCAUGCCUUACACAUGCAAGUCGAACGGCAGCACGGGAGCUUGCUCCUGGUGGCGAGUGGCGAACGGGUGAGUAAUGCAUCGGAACGUGCCCUGAAGUGGGGGAUAACGUAGCGAAAGUUACGCUAAUACCGCAUAUUCUGUGAGCAGGAAAGCAGGGGAUCUUCGGACCUUGCGCUUUUGGAGCGGCCGAUGUCGGAUUAGCUAGUUGGUGGGGUAAAGGCCCACCAAGGCGACGAUCCGUAGCGGGUCUGAGAGGAUGAUCCGCCACACUGGAACUGAGACACGGUCCAGACUCCUACGGGAGGCAGCAGUGGGGAAUUUUGGACAAUGGGCGCAAGCCUGAUCCAGCCAUGCCGCGUGAGUGAAGAAGGCCUUCGGGUUGUAAAGCUCUUUCGGUGGGGAAGAAAUUGCUUGGGUUAAUACCCUGAGUAGAUGACGGUACCCGCAUAAGAAGCACCGGCUAAUACGUG
rnacentral:rRNA from 1 species